UACGUAGGGUGCAAGCGUUAAUCGGAAUUACUGGGCGUAAAGCGUGCGCAGGCGGCUAUGCAAGACAGAUGUGAAAUCCCCCGGGCUCAACCUGGGGAACUGCAUUUGUGACUGCAUAGCUAGAGUACGGUAGAGGGGGAUGGAAUUCCGCGUGUAGCAGUGAAAUGCGUAGAUAUGCGGAGGAACACCGAUGGCGAAGGGCAAUCCCCUGGACCUGUACUGACGCUCAUGCACGAAAGGCGUGGGGAGCAAACGAGG
rnacentral:rRNA from 1 species